AAAAAAGAGUUCUGAGCCAGAACACCCUGCCUGACUGCCUUGCCCACAAGCCCGCUUGCCAGCCUGCUCUAAAGACUGCAUGCAACCAAUCUUGCCUGUGAAAUAGACAGCCUGAACGCCACAUUUUUUGCAACUCCAUACAAAAAUAAUGUCCAGCACAUCAUCUUCAAGUAAGGCCAGGAGCUCUCCUCCAACACGACGUCGUCGACAUGAUACAUCAUCAUCUGUGGAGGAGAUGCUUCCUGGCCAAGGGACGGCAGGAGAGGAGGAAGU